AGGGCGUCCCUGCUUCCUCCUUGUGCCCAGAGGGCCAGCCAGGCACCCAGGCUUGUCCUCCCGGGCAAAGGACUCCUGCCCAGGGACCUCCCAUCCCGCCUUGACUGCAUCCCAAGAGGAAGGAGGCCACUUCAGAGAAGCUGCCAGACAGGAACAGACCUCACGGCCCUGCUCUGUGACCUUGGGCAGCCUCCUUUGCCUCUCUGGGCAUUUCCACUGCCAGGAGAGGGAGGCAUGGCCCAAGUCUACUCUCGAAGCUCAGAAUCCUAGGUCCCCUUCCUUUCCAGAAGCGUGGGUUCUCUAAAGUGUCCCCUUGGUGGGUAGGACUGGCAUUGGAGCCUGUCCCUGAAGCCUCUUGAGCCAGAUCCUAUCUGUGGGAUGGGAGGGUAGGUGAGAACACACUUUGCAGGAGAAAAGUCUGCUCCCUCGGGGGUCCUGAGCCAGCUCAGGGACCAGAAGCAGAAGUCCCUUCCACUCCCCACAGCAGGAAGGGAACCAAAGGUUGAAGGGAGGGUGGCUUCCCACCAGCCAAGGCCAGAGUGCAGGACGGGCCCAUAUUUGCAUGUGAGGAAGCAGCAGCCACUCAGAGAGGUUAAGCCAAGUGCUCAAGGUCACUCAGCUCUCAGACCCCUGCUGGCUCUCAGGCCACAGAGGUGCUAAGUGUUCCUCCGGAUGGCGGUUGCUGACAGCCCUGUUCUUAGCACUCUGCCAGCAGUCCCCAACCCUGCAGGCUCCCCCAGCCCAGGUAGCAGUUGUGGUGGUAGCAGAGAAGGCACCUUAGGGGGCAGGACUCCGACCUAGCCCCCGCUCCAGCUUCCCACACAGCCUCACCCCUGCCUGGCUUUAAUAUGAUGCAGCUCUGGAGACAUCCUCAUUGGAAUAAGAAGGCUUCUGCUGCAAAAGAUAAACUUUUCAAACCUGGAAACACAGACCUAAGAAUAAAGUUCGAAUUGCUUAAUAACAGGA